UACGGGGGGGCAAGCGUGUUCGGAAUUACUGGGCGUAAAGGGCUCGUAGGCGGCCAACUAAGUCAGACGUGAAAUCCCUCGGCUUAACCGGGGAACUGCGUCUGAUACUGGAUGGCUUGAGUUUGGGAGAGGGAUGCGGAAUUCCAGGUGUAGCGGUGAAAUGCGUAGAUAUCUGGAGGAACACCGGUGGCGAAGGCGGCAUCCUGGACCAACACUGACGCUGAGUGAGCGAAAGCCAGGG
rnacentral:rRNA from 1 species